rnacentral:rRNA from 1 species
AUGAACGCUGGCGGCGUGCCUAAUACAUGCAAGUCGAGCGAACGGACGAGAAGCUUGCUUCUCUGAUGUUAGCGGCGGACGGGUGAGUAACACGUGGAUAACCUACCUAUAAGACUGGGAUAACUUCGGGAAACCGUAGCUAAUACCGGAUAAUAUUUUGAACCGCAUGGUUCAAAAGUGAAAGACGGUCUUGCUGUCACUUAUAGAUGGAUCCGCGCUGCAUUAGCUAGUUGGUAAGGUAACGGCUUACCAAGGCAACGAUGCAUAGCCGACCUGAGAGGGUGAUCGGCCACACUGGAACUGAGACACGGUCCAGACUCCUACGGGAGGCAGCAGUAGGGAAUCUUCCGCAAUGGGCGAAAGCCUGACGGAGCAACGCCGCGUGAGUGAUGAAGGUCUUCGGAUCGUAAAACUCUGUUAUUAGGGAAGAACAUAUGUGUAAGUAACUGUGCACAUCUUGACGGUACCUAAUCAGAAAGCCACGGCUAACUACAUG